CAUGCGUGGGUUUUCUCCGGGCACUCCGGCUUCCUCCCACAGUCCAAAAAUAUGCUGAGGUUAAUUGAUUACUCUAAAUUGUCUGUAGGUGUGAAUGUGAGUGUGAUUGUUUGUCUGUAUAUGUAGCCCUGCGACAGACUGGCGACCUGUCCAGGGUGUCCCCUGCCUUCGCCCGAGUCAGCUGGGAUAGGCUCCAGCACCCCCCGCGACCCGAGUGAGGAUAAAGCGGUGUAUAGAGAAUGGAUGGAUGGAUGGAUGAAUACCCCACAACUCAUUCUACGCAUCAGGCAGGAACAGACUGACAGAGCCAUGGAAGAAACAAAAGUUAGACUUUCUACCACUAAAACUAACGCAGUAUCUGCCUGUGCUGGUUAAAGCAACAACGAACAGCUAAUAAUCAUUAUUCACUCGCACAAAUGCGACCACUUGACCACUUUAACUCGCACACUUUCAAGAAAUGGUCACACCAUUUUGGUCACAGUCUGCAGCCCUGUAUCAUUAAACUGGGACUGUCCCAUUUAACUGCAUGCUUAUUAUUAAAACCUGGUAAUUAAGGUUCUGUAUUUUAACCAAAAUCUCCAUGUUUCUCUAAACGUACACAAAUGGUUUUUAACCAAAAUCUAAAAAAACGGAGGUUGAAAAAAUUCUGUGCCAUAUUACACUCCUGUGGACUGGGUGUGAGGAUGUGUUGGAAAAUGUUCUUGCAUUAAGCUCUGUUCCACCUCUGGAUUAUAUAUAAAAUAGCACUGAGGCCUUUUCUCUAUAUAAUUGGGUAUUUUGGACAUUAUCAACUCAUAAGAGGGCUGUUAGUUAUCACAGAUCAUUCCCCUUUGGGCCAGUUCUGACCUCCACAUUCCUACACCUUCAGUAGUCAUUAUUGCUAUAUUUAAUGGAGGUUGGGAGAGUUGAAUGGUAGCAUAGGUCAGUCUAUUUUAUUAUUUACUCAUAAAUUAAUCAUUUUUUCACUUCAGUCUCAUUUUUACUUUCACGUGAAACUUUCAUUGUUUUUCACUCAUUUCAUUAGAUUUGUCAUUGGCGUUUGGUUCACAUUAGUCACCAAAAGUACUUAGUUAGGUUUAGAAAAUGAUCAUAGUUUGGGUUAAAAUAGACACUGUCACUACUGAACCUCAUUACAAAGCUUCAUUUGUAUAUUUUCAGGUUGACAGGUCAACGAGAGGUUUUACGUGUUGUCUAGUUUCUGUAGAUCGAUGACCAGAAUGGAUGUAACAGUCCAGAGGAAGGUGGAGGAGGUUCCUACUGGGGAACAUCAACAGGCUGGAAAGACUUCAUACAUUUCAACGCCCUAUAAUUUCUUUGCCUGCCCUCACCAACACUGAGGACAGAUGACAGAGGAUGGACAGAGGUGUACAUUUGUGGUCACAGAAACCUUCUGGAGACAGCUGGCUUUAUAUACAGGUUCCUUUUCAAGUGUAUCAAACCCCUGUCUUCGGGGUGUUGGAGUUCCUUAUCCAAAUUCAGUUUAUAGGUAGAUCCGGUUGGAGGAUUUUUUGAGAUUGAGAUUAUAAAACUCUUUGAGAUAGUUCUGUGAUUUUACAGAGCCUGCAAAGCCACAUUUGUUUCAUAUUGUGUGCAGUCUUUUGGUACCAAGAGGGAUACACACAUUUGUAAAAUGGUCUUUGUUAACAAAAUAGAUUCGACCCUACUAAGCAUUUAAAAUCUGUUGAAGUGCAUUGAUCCAGAGUAAGGAGAUUAUUUUUCAAACCGAUAAAAUAAGAGUCCUCUCUGUAGAUUUAAAAUGUGCAGCUGCUUCAUAGACUAUAUGAAGCUGAGAGAAAUUGUCGACCCACAGAGUUUGUUGAGUUUUUACACCCCUAGGAGAGAUGUCUUGUCUGGAGUUAUGGCAGCUCUCAACUAGAAAAAAAAAAAAUUACUUUAUCUCCACAAAGUUCCACUGUGUGCUCUCACAGCAACCUUUACUGUUUUUGCUUUUCCAUUGCAGUCCCAGUGGGGAAGCUGUACAGUUUGUUCUUGAUUUCAAACCUGAUCAUAAGGUGUGCUCUGUGGUCUCUGGCUCUCUGAGUGAGUUAUUUGUGUUCUCACACAGGCUAGGUAACCUGCUCUGUAGUGAAACAUUCAUACUGAGACCAGGCUUUGUCAUUCUUUCUUCAUAUAUUUGUGUUCUUUCCUAAAAUCUCUUCCUCAUACAAGUUUAGAAUUUUGUUGCUAUCUGAUGGGAUGAAUGCAGUGUAUAGAUUUCAUGAAGCUUAAUGCCAGUGUGAAAUGAGUGGGUAUGUACUUUCCUUCGUUCUGUGAAAACUAUUUGAACAUUGCUUUAAAAAUAUAGAUUCUUACUUACUUUCUAGUGAAAUGUAGACACGCGCACACACACACACACACACACACACACACACACACACACACACACACACACACACACACACACACACACACACACACACACACACACACACUCAAAAAUAGAAGCCUUUCUGUGCAGAGGAUUACAAUCGAGGCUAUAUUGAUUUUCUUCUUCCACUCAACACUUUCACAGGAUUGUUGCAGUUUUUGGUGACUGUUUGAAACUCUGCUGGUCAAAUUCUUUCAAACAGAACUACAACAAAAUAGCACAAUACAAACUCAAAGUAGAAAUUGCUGUUUUGAAAUUGCAUUAAGUGUUUUGACUUAGCUCUGUUAGUAUGAGAAAAGCAUGAUAAUAAACUCAGUUAAUAAAAGACAGGCUGGUCUCCUGGUUUCCUCCUGAACUGGACAGUGAAGAGUCUGGGCAGCAGCCCGAAGCUGAGGAACAUAAACACUGGUUAGUAUUUAGGUAUUAAAUGACUGAAUGCACAGAAGUGCAUGUGGAAGUCCCUACAUGACAAGAUCUAUGAAAUCUGUCUGUCAUUAUUUUGCUUAUUUCAAUUCUGAUUUCAAAUAAACUGGUACUGAACGUACAAUAACAACAUAUGUAUAUGUUUAGAUAAAAUAUCCAGUUUCCAAGUACAAUAUCCAGUUGUAAAGAGACUACAGCAUCGCUCAACUUUGAACUUUUUUUCCCACUAAGAUUAGACGCUGUCAGUCCUUGCACCAUUUUCAUGUUGUCCUGCCUGUUCAGAGUUGCAAACAAAGGGAUAGCAUUGUUUUCCAUUUGAGCCUGUAAAAAACAAUGAGGUACACAUGAUGACAAUCUGGCAGGUCUGUUUGUUUCAUGUACUGAUUUGACAAAAGUUUCAGAGAAAGCUUCAGUUGAUGUUGAAUACUUGGUUGUAUUAUGCUUUUACAAUGCACCAACUUUUUAAAGUCAUUGAAACAUAAAAAAAAAACAUUUGACAAGAUUCCAUCAUCAACAUAACUGACACCCCUACAUUUCUACAAAAGGCAAUGUUUGCUUCACCAAUUCCAACUUAAUUUUCAAAAGUCUUAUGUAUAUAUGUGAGACUACAAAGUAGACUUGGACAUCACAAAAUUUCAAGUCCUGCAAUGAGAAAUCAUCAGAUGACACAGUUAUAUAGCUGCCAGUAACAUGUUGUCAGAACAGUGGUGUACUGUGACAUGUAGUGAUGGGUACUGAAAUGGAAAUUAAACGACCCCGCUGGGCAAAAUUAUUAACGACUGGAGGAUUGAUAAGCUCUACAAUAUUAGUUGUACUCGACAUGGUACAGAAUAUAUUAAGAAAAUAAAUUUCUUAUUUAUUAUACUACAUAAAUACUAUUUUGUCUCUGUCUACAUUUCUUUUCCCCAACUCUAUGAUACAAAAGAGAGUUCUCUUUGUGCCAGGAACAGCACCAGCUCUCUCUCAAAAACUGAAGUACUGUACAGGACACACACACACACACACACACAUUUCUGGUUUGCCAUACACACACACACACGCACGCACGCACGCACGCACGCACGCACGCACGCACGCACGCACGCACGCACGCACGCACGCACAGUUACACACGCACAGUCACACACCAUAGUGAAAAAAUAGCGAGAAAUAAAUAAAGCGUCUACACACUUCUGUAGAAUUGAGUUUAAUCACGUUUUUGCAUGUAAGAGUAGAUACACAACAGUGUCAUGCAAAGAUAUACAAGAGAAAAUGAAUUUGCCAUAUUGUUUUUUAGGUGUUUUUUGAAUAUAAUGUAAAAUCUAAACUGCAAUUUCAUUCAGAUUGAAGUUUCUGGUUUUUAUUCCAUUCAACCCCUAAAGUCCUUCAAUCACUCUUCCCCUGACAUUUAUUAGAGUGAUGAUAUUUGGUGCUGCAGCUUUGACUUUGGCCACAGUAAAUUAAAACUAUCCUGUAACGGUUAAAGAACACACCCAUUAACUCAGUAAACUGGUGCUUAACUCCACUAAAUCAAAAUUCAUGCUGUUCAAAAGAUCCACAGACAGAUUCUAGUCAUUUCAACAUGUCCACAGUGACAGGGUCACAGAAUGCAAAAUGUUGGUAUAAAGCUCUUAGAGAAAUGUACAGUGAAAUAUCUUAUUGACAAUCUGUGACUGAUGCUUGGCCUUUACAAUUCAGCUUUACUCUGAGAUGUAAAAAAGAUGUUUUACUCUCAGGUCUAGAUUAGAUGUCACAUAGACACACUGCUGCCUCCACUUUUAUUCUUGUCUUCAUUCAGCUCUUUGGGUCAUUACUGGAGAUAAUUACACUGCAUGCAGAUGUAAUAUCCAUUUGAAUCUAUUUACAUAAAAAUACCAAUCUGAAAAUUGCUGUUUUACAUUUUAUUUUAUGCAGUGCUACAACGUUGGUGUAAAGUGAAUUGAAGCUACCUGACCUUCUUUAAAAAAAGACUGCUUUCAUCAAUAAAUAGAAUAACGUGUGGAAUAACAUGAGCGCAUAUAAAAUCUGAAACUCCCAAUCAGUCCCAACAUUAAAUCCACAGACUGGUGUAGUGUUUCACAUUGAUCACCUUGUUGCAAUCUAAUGUUCUGCAGGGAAACACAACAAAGAGCUCAAGCUGUUGACUUUACCUCCAAACUCCCCAGAUCCCAACCCAACUGAGCAUCCAUAGAAUGUGCUGGAACAAACUCAGUCCACGGCUUCCCACCCACUGCCCACAGGAUCUGAAGGAUCUACUGCCAGCGUCCCAGUGCCAGACAUUCAUGGCAUUACUGGUUCAAGGCAGCUUGAGGGGGACCUACACAGUAUUAGGCAGGUGAUUUUAAUGUUGUGGCUCAUCAGUGCAAUCUCCACUCUGUAUCUGCCAUUAUCUAAGCUUCUGCUGUGUUAAUAUUCUGUUUGUGUCUGCUCUUGUCACAUUAUUUGAUUAUUUUUCACUGUACCUGCCCAAAAGGGCAUUGCUGUAUAACAGCACGCACCGAACACUCAGCCAGCCCUCUCUGUAUAAAUAAAGGUACAACUACAAGUUUGUGCUGCAAACUUUUCCUGUGCCAGCAGUAAUCUGCAGAUGGUGGCAUGAAAACCAGCAUGUGUUAAAGCAGUUGCCACCGAGCAGAAUAAUGUACCAUCUGUUGAAACACUGUCACCCCACUGCUUUGUUUGGCUCCCAGCAAAUAUUUUGACAUUGAAUCGCUGUUGAUAAGACGGCCUGCACCAACGCUGAAAAUGAAAAUCGAGAUGACAUCUGUAGUCGGCUGCUUCCUGUAACAGAAUCUAAAUACAGAAUCAUUCUGAUUUCAGCCCAAAACUGUCCCGAAUAGCUGGUGUAAUAGGACUUUUUAUUAUCAUCUUGUGAUAUCAUAUCUUUUCAAAGCCAAGCUUGAUGAUGCUGAACAGGGACACCCCCGGAUCAUUACUGUCUGUGAUCAACUUGUCAUUUUAAUUAGGUCUUUAUCAUCAGAUCUUCUAAUAGAGAUACCUGGAAGAUCCUGAGUGUCAUUUUGUGGCUAACGAUGCUGCCACUCUAGAUGGACACACAAAUAAGUGUAUAGUCUGAAUGCACUCCACUUGUAAUGGAUAAAUGAAAGCUAUAAAGACGACAAGAGGGAAUGCAGUAAAACGUGCUGCUUAUAUAGUCUGGCACUGCCUGUCCACAGUUUUUUUUUCACUCAUUUAAUGCCGCACGGAGAAGCUCAACAGGCAUUCAUGUGAGAAAAUGUAUUUUAACUGGGCUAUAUAAUCUGUUAUUGUCUUCUUACUCCUUCAGUCAGAGCACAAACUUCCAUUCGUUCAAUUCACUGUAGUCUCACUGGCCCACUUUUCUGAUUGUCAGAGAUGAGAAACAGCAGCAAAUUUUAAGCAAAAGCGUCAAUGUAAUAACAGAAUCCUGGUUUGAUUUCCAACCUUAUUUAAGGUGCACCACUCAUUUAAAAAAAACAAAAA